rnacentral:misc_RNA from 1 species
GGUAUUCUCUUAACAACUUGGCAUUCUCUAAACAACUUGGCAUCUUCUGUAAACCUUCUCUCUGCUGCAUGUUUUCGAUAUAAAUUUGUAUAGUCAUUGAUGGAAAAUAAUAAAUUACUACAGAAAAAGAAUUUCAUAAUCUAUUUGCUAAUAAUGCAAUUAAACUGUUCCAGAUGCAUCUUUAGGGGGGAAAUUAACGAGCAUCUAUACAACCAUGCCACUUUGUAAAACAGAAAGAAAAAUACAAAUCCCAGUCAGACUUACUGAAAUCAGAAACCACUUCUCUCAACUUAAU